CCCAAAGAAACCCUCACAUAACUCCAAAAACAGAACUCAAACCCUCACCCCCAACAUUUUCUCUCUCAUCUACAAUUCUCACUACUCAAAAUAUUGAUGCAAUUCUCUACCAACAGCUUUGAAAUUCUUUAUUUUCAUUACAAAAUUGGAGAUUCUUGCUUAAAAUACAAGAAUUGAGGUGGAAUUUGACCCGGUGGCUGCAACGGUGGUGGCGGCAUCAAGGGUUUGAUUGGUUAGGCGUUAGUGCUUCUUCGAUCGAACGGCUGAUGAUACUCAGUGAGCUACUGGCAAUAUUGUGAACACUCGAACAAAUAUGAGUCCUCCAUCAAUAAGCCUAGAAGAACUAGAAGAUCAAAUGAUUGAUGGGAGUUUAGAGAAUUGUUAAAGGCAUUGUUGCUAGGUAGAAGAGUUCAUGAUUUCAGUACUUAGUACUUAGUGAACAGGUUAUUUUUUUAUCAAGUGGGGUGAACUUGUCUAUUAUUUAUGAAGCUUAAUGCUGAUUGUUGCUGGUUUUGGAAGUCGUGAAGAGCCUAAAUAGCCUUUGAAUUGUGAAGCUUAAUGCUGAUUUUUGCUGAUUUUGGAAGUUGUGAAGAGCCUAAAUAGCCUUUCAAAUGGGUAUUUGCAUCAUGUGUAGUUAGUUUUGAAGUAGUUCGAAGUAUGAAUUUGAAGUUCAACAACAUGAAAGAUGUAACAAGUUUUUUGUGGUACCUUGGAUGAUGAUGUAACAACAAUUAUUCAUAUCUAUUAAAUAUAUAAUGAU